UACGGGGGGGGCAAGCGUUGUUCGGAAUUACUGGGCGUAAAGGGCUCGUAGGCGGCCAACUAAGUCAGACGUGAAAUCCCUCGGCUUAACCGGGGAACUGCAUCUGAUACUGGAUGGCUUGAGAUUGGGAGAGGGAUGCGGAAUUCCAGGUGUAGCGGUGAAAUGCGUAGAUAUCGGGAGGAACACCAGUGGCGAAGGCGAGUCUCUGGGAUGAUGCUGACGCUGAGGCGCGAAAGCCAGGGGAGCAAACGGG
rnacentral:rRNA from 1 species